CAGUCGCCGCGGGAAUACGAAGGGGGCUAGCGUUGCUCGGAAUGACUGGGCGUAAAGGGCGCGUAGGCGGCGAUCAAAGUCAGGCGUGAAAUUCCUGGGCUCAACCUGGGGGCUGCGCUUGAUACUUGGUUGCUUGAGUGGGGAAGAGGGUCGUGGAAUUCCCAGUGUAGAGGUGAAAUUCGUAGAUAUUGGGAAGAACACCGGUGGCGAAGGCGGCGACCUGGUCCUUGACUGACGCUGAGGCGCGAAAGCGUGGGGAGCAAACAGGAUUAGAUACCCCCGUAGUCCCUGUCUCUUAUAA
rnacentral:rRNA from 1 species